GAAAAGAAUCGAGGGAACAGAAAGGAGCCAUAGCGGCCCUUAACAGAAAAUAUACAUUAGUAAAGCCGAGCGUAGGGGUCCGCCUCGUCGGCAGUGAUGGAGGUAACAGGGAAAAGAAUAGAGGUAAGAGAAAGAAUAGAGGGCAGAAAAGAGAGCCGUCGUGUUCCUUUAAAAAUAAAUGUACAUUAGUAAAGCCGAGCGUAGGGGUCCGCCUCGCUGGCAUUGAUAGAGGUAACAGAGAAAAGAAAUAAAUGUACAUAGUAAAGCCGAGCGUAGGGGUCCGCCUCGCUGGCAUUGAUAGAGGUAACAGAGAAAAUAAAUAAAUGUACAUAGUAAAGCCGAGCGUAGGGGUCCGCCUCGCUGGCAUUGAUAGAGGUAACAGAGAAAAGAAUCGAUGUAACGGAAAGAAUAGAGGGCAGAAAAGAGAGCCAUCGCCUUCCUUCAUGGUAAAAGUACAUAGUAAGGCCGGGCGUAGGGUUCCGCCUCGCCGGCUGGAAUCGAGGAAACAAUUAAUCAAAUUGAGGGAACAAUAAAUUAAAAUCUA